GAAGCGCGUGACGGAGGAGCGGUUGGCCAACGCAGUGGCGGCAGUCGGUGUAAACAAGGCCUCGCGCCGCUGCGGGUCCUGCGACCGCUCCUGGCUGGUGGGUGGUCUCGCGUGGGGCGGUUACCGCCGGCUUCAGUGGGAGGUGCUUCUCGGCUUCCUCCCCCUCAUGGCGUACACACCCCCGGCGCACCACGUGGGCGUGAGGCGAGGAAGGAGGGGUGUUAGGCCAAAUUCUAUUUUCAUUGGCUGUCACUGCUGCCGGCCUUUGUAAGGGGGCGCUCUGAUUGGUCGAUAAGGUGGGGGCGUCGAGGGUCUUUGAGUCCUAAGGCUUCUAAUUGGUUAGAUGAGAUAAGCUAGUGAAGCGCUUUCUUCCGAGAGGGAUUUCGAUUGGUCGGUCAGAGAGGUUACCUGGAAAUCCAACACCGCCCAACACCCCUCCCGCUCCCCAGUCCGGGGACUUCGAUAGGAUUGGAGAAGGUUUGUGUUCCCGACGCCUUGGUAGUUGGCAUAGGCUAAAGAAAAGGGAUCUCAGCCCCGAGGAAGGGUCACCCUCCUAGAGAUAGCUACUACCCCGUCUCAGGAGACCCUGGUAUUUCUAGAGCACGCUUUGCUUUCACCAAACCCAAGGAGGUGACAGGAGGAGCCCCCGCACAGGACCUAAGAAUGCUGUGACCAGAAGAUGGGAUCGCGGAACAGCAGCAGUGCAGGAUCCGGGUCCGGAGACCCCUCCGAGGGCUUGCCCCGAAGAGGGGCUGGCCUGCGUCGGAGUGAGGAAGAGGAAGAAGAGGAUGAAGAUGUGGAUCUGGCCCAGGUACUGGCCUAUCUCCUCCGCAGGUAACUUACCCUCUGGUGUGACCCCCAGCAGGUGCUACCACAGUGCCUUGAUCCCAACUCCAGGCAGG
rnacentral:lncRNA from 1 species